AAGACUAUAGACCUGCGGAGUACCUGCGGAAGGAUCAUUACAGAGCCUAAAAACUCUCAAACCCACUGUUAAUUAUACCUUUUUUGUUGCUUUGGCGGGCAGUCCCAGGGCGGGGCUUUGCCUGUAUUUUUGCAGGUGUCCGCCGAAAGCACCCUAAAAUUCUUUUUUUAUAGCUGUCUGAGUUUAAAAAAAAAUAAGUCAAAACUUUCAACAAUGGAUCUCUAGAUCGGAAGAGCACAC
rnacentral:misc_RNA from 1 species